CCUACGGGAGGCAGCAGUGAGGAAUAUUGGUCAAUGGGCGUAAGCCUGAACCAGCCAAGUCGCGUGAGGGAUGAAGGUUCUAUGGAUCGUAAACCUCUUUUAUAAGGGAAUAAAGUGUGUGGCGUGUCCUAUUUUGUAUGUACCUUAUGAAUAGGGAUCGGCUAACGCCGUUCCAGCAGCCGCGGUAAUACGGAGGGUCCGAGCGUUAUCCGGAUUUAUUGGGUUUAACGGGUACGUAGGCGGCCUUUUAAGUCAGAGGUGAAAGUCUGUGGCUCAACCAUAGAAUUGCCGUUGAAACUGGGAGGCUUGAGUAUGUUAGAGGCAGGUAGAAUUCGAGGUGUAGCGGUGAAAUGCGUAGAGAUCACGCAGAAUACCGAUGGCGAAGGCAGCCUGCCAAGCCAAGACUGACGCUGAUGUACGAAAGCGUGGGGAGCAAACAGGAUUAGAUACCCCUGUAGUC
rnacentral:rRNA from 1 species